rnacentral:lncRNA from 1 species
UGAGAAAGCUAAUUCCUAACUCUAUGAAAGACCAUAGCUUUGUCUAUUUCAACUGUAGCUCUAAAGAAAACUUUAGUGUAGAUGGGAGCAGAAGGUGUUCAACUGCUGACAAAACAUACCUGCGUAAGGGCUGUGCAAGAAUAGCAAAGACAUGAAGACUUUCAUAAAAACUACAAUAAACACAAAGGAAGGUGUAUUUUGAGUCA